CCCGCCACUAUGCCCGUCUGCAGUGACAGAGUAUAAUCCAGUGGAGGCUCAGAGAAACCCGGCUUUAGGAAACAGGGUGGUCCACAACAAUGGUCAACUCUGUGCCGUAAAGUUUGGAACAACU
rnacentral:snoRNA from 1 species